rnacentral:miRNA from 10 species
GCCAUCUAUAAGGUUGGUGCAAAAGUAAUUGCAGUUUUUGCCAUUGCUUUCAAUGGCAAAAGCUGCAAUUACUUUUGCAGCAACACAAUAGUU